ACGAACGCUGGCGGCGUGCUUAACACAUGCAAGUCGAACGGAAAGGCCCUGCUUUUGUGGGGUGCUCGAGUGGCGAACGGGUGGGUAACACGUGAGUAACCUGCCCUUGACUUUGGGAUAACUUCAGGAAACUGGGGCUAAUACCGGAUAGGAGCUCCUGCUGCAUGGUGGGGGUUGGAAAGUUUCGGCGGUUGGGGAUGGACUCGCGGCUUAUCAGCUUGUUGGUGGGGUAGUGGCUUACCAAGGCUUUGACGGGUAGCCGGCCUGAGCGGGUGACCGGCGACAUUGGGACUGAGAUACGGCCCAGACUGCUACGGGAGGCAGCAGUGGGGAAUAUUGCACAAUGGGCGGAAGCCUGAUGCAGCAACGCCGCGUGCGGGAUGACGGCCUUCGGGUUGUAAACCGCUUUCGCCUGUGACGAAGCGUGAGUGACGGUAAUGGGUAAAGAAGCACCGGCUAACUACGUG
rnacentral:rRNA from 1 species